rnacentral:miRNA from 2 species
CAACGAGGAGGCCGGGACCA